rnacentral:rRNA from 1 species
GUACACUCCUACGGGAGGCAGCAGUGGGGAAUUUUGGACAAUGGGCGAAAGCCUGAUCCAGCCAUGCCGCGUGCAGGAUGAAGGCCUUCGGGUUGUAAACUGCUUUUGUACGGAACGAAACGGCCUUUUCUAAUAAAGAGGGCUAAUGACGGUACCGUAAGAAUAAGCACCGGCUAACUACGUGCCAGCAGCCGCGGUAAUACGUAGGGUGCAAGCGUUAAUCGGAAUUACUGGGCGUAAAGCGUGCGCAGGCGGUUAUGUAAGACAGUUGUGAAAUCCCCGGGCUCAACCUGGGAACUGCAUCUGUGACUGCAUAGCUAGAGUACGGUAGAGGGGGAUGGAAUUCCGCGUGUAGCAGUGAAAUGCGUAGAUAUGCGGAGGAACACCGAUGGCGAAGGCAAUCCCCUGGACCUGUACUGACGCUCAUGCACGAAAGCGUGGGGAGCAAACAGGAUUAGAAACCCGAGUAGUCCCAUG